CAGUCGCCGCGGUAAUACGGAGGGAGCUAGCGUUGUUCGGAAUUACUGGGCGUAAAGCGCGCGUAGGCGGUUACUCAAGUCAGAGGUGAAAGCCCGGGGCUCAACCCCGGAACUGCCUUUGAAACUAGGUGACUAGAAUCUUGGAGAGGUCAGUGGAAUUCCGAGUGUAGAGGUGAAAUUCGUAGAUAUUCGGAAGAACACCAGUGGCGAAGGCGACUGACUGGACAAGUAUUGACGCUGAGGUGCGAAAGCGUGGGGAGCAAACAAGAUUAGAUACCCCAGUAGUCCCUGUCUCUUAUAC
rnacentral:rRNA from 1 species